GACCGCCGCCAUAUAGCUGGAAUAUUGCGGAGUGCAGCGUAUAACUAAACUCACUCACUCACUCUGAUUGAUAUACUGUUGUAGCUGUGUUAACUGUUAAAGCCUACUGUCUACUAUGCCAUGAUCUUGCUAAGGAAUUACUAUAGAGGUGGCUGCAGUUUCUUGACAGAUGGUAAUACACUACAAUUGUGGUGAAGUUGAGAGUGAAGUCUGAAUGUACCACGAACUUCAAUAUUCUGGUACCCAUCUUGCCUGUUAAAUCCUACUGUCAGCUGGUACAGGUGUUUGUGAUGAACACUAAAGUAGGUACUGCAGCCUCUGGACACAAAUGUGUUGAAGUUCCUACCAAUGACAGAUCCUAUUAUUGGCUGUGCCCAGAACUGCAGUAUUCCGCCUCCAUUGCCUUGCCAUGAACAUUGUGCCGAAUCCGAGACACCAAGUGCACCAUGAACUGUACAAUAGUCAGCUGCCCGUCCUCGAUGGUUGGUGAACAGUUAGACAGCUGAGCGACCAAUUGUUAACUUACCAGUAUUCAAGGACCCAUCUUUCCGGAUCCUUGCCAGCAGAUUAAGAAUGUGAUACAGCUCUUGCCAUGAGAUUAUGGAAUAGCUUCAGCUGGUCAGUACAGUCCAGGGGGAUCUCAUAACCAAACUCACUUCAAUGUCUCAUAGCACUCAGCUCCUCCCAAUCGCCUUUGAUGGGAACGUUUCAUCCCACAGGCGACGUUGUUGGCAGUGUGAACAGUGUGGCAAGUCGUUCACCACGCAGGAGACAAAGCGACAUCAUAUCGAGGCGGUCCACAUGAAUGUUACCUAUCCUUGUGUGUGUGGAAAGGUCUACCGAUAUCCGAGGAAUAUCCGGAGGCACAAGAAGGAUUGUAGUGUUUUCAAGUUAAUGGGAGACCAUCAGAACCUAAAUUGAUAAAGGCUUGGUAAUGAUGAACCAAGGUGAAAGUGGCUAUACCCCAAGGAGCCAUGCUACUGGUUCAAGUAUGUAUGUGAACUCUUUGAUCAGGGGGCAAUAGUCCACUGUUUCCCUUGGGCAGAGCUCGAGGACCUUCAGGAGGACCUUCAGGAGGCCCUAGUCUUUCCUGGAAGAAGUAUCAGUGUGAAGACUGUGGCAAGACCUUCACUAACCCCUGGAACAAGAAGAUUCACAAAGAAGCCAUGCAUCAAAAUGUCACGUACACUUGUGUCUGUGGGAAGGUGUUCCGAUAUCCUCACAACUUGACUACUCACAAAAAGAGUUGUCCUGUGUAUAUUCAGAUGUCUGCUACCUCAGGAAGCAUGUAAAAAGUCCUUCUUUCAGCCGAGCACUCUCUUUCAAUUCUGAGAUGUUUCCACUGCUGAUUUGUUACUUCUUGAAGGAAGACAUUAUGUUUUCUAAUGGUUCAUACUUUCCACUGUCCUUGUGGGUUUUUUUUUUUAACUCUGUUUGGGGCAGAACAUGACUGAAUGAAUAAUCACAGCAAGAAUCAUUGUUUUGAGUUAAGUGUUGUGGCUUUGAAAGUUCACCAAUGCUGGAGGAAUCAGUGUUAAUUUUAGUUAUUUUUAUGUGGAAAAAUAAUCAUAACCUUGCAUAAAGUGGUGUACAGUUUUAUUUCCACGUUGAAAUCUGAUGUCACAGUUUCAGUAUUCGGUUUUAUAAUGGAGGUGUCAGUAACAGGAUCAUGAUGAGGAGAGCCCAUAUCAUGACGUGGGUGAGUGUUUCAGGGAUGGAAAGAACUAUAAAAUUGCUAGUGUAUUCCAGUACAGUGGCACAUGUAAAGUCAAUUGCCCUGAUAAUUUUUCCAUUAUUCCGACCGU